GAUGAACGCUGACAGAAUGCUUAACACAUGCAAGUCUACUUGAACUUCGGUUUGGGUGGCGGACGGGUGAGUAACGCGUAAAGAACUUGCCUCACAGAUAGGGACAACAUUUGGAAACGAAUGCUAAUACCUGAUAUUAUGAUUUUAGGGCAUCCUAGAAUUAUGAAAGCUAUAUGCACUGUGAGAGAGCUUUGCGUCCCAUUAGCUAGUUGGAGAGGUAACGGCUCACCAAGGCGAUGAUGGGUAGCCGGCCUGAGAGGGUGAUCGGCCACAAGGGGACUGAGACACGGCCCUUACUCCUACGGGAGGCAGCAGUGGGGAAUAUUGGACAAUGGACCAAGAGUCUGAUCCAGCAAUUCUGUGUGCAUGAUGAAGUUUUUCGGAAUGUAAAGUGCUUUCAGUUGGGAAGAAAAAAAUGACGGUACCAACAGAAGAAGUGACGGCUAAAUACGUG
rnacentral:rRNA from 1 species